rnacentral:rRNA from 1 species
UAAGCGGAGGAAAAGAAACUAACAAGGAUUCCCCUAGUAACGGCGAGUGAAGUGGGAAAAGCUCAACUUUGUAAUCUGGCUCUUUCAGAGUCCGAGUUGUAGUCUCGAGAAGCAACAUCCGCAUCGGACCUUGGGUAUGUCUGUUGGAAAACAGCGUCAUAGAGGGUGACAAUCCCGUUUGUACCAAGGACGACCGCGUGCAUUGUGGUGUGCUUUCCAAGAGUCGAGUUGUUUGGGAAUGCAGCUCAAAUUGGGUGGUAAAUUCCAUCUAAAGCUAAAUAUUGGCGAGAGACCGAUAGCGAACAAGUACCGUGAGGGAAAGAUGAAAAGCACUUUGGAAAGAGAAUGAAACAGUAUGUGAAAUUGCUGGAAGGGAAACGAUUGAAGUUAGACUUGCGUGGGCCCCACUCAGCCUUUUUGGUGUACUUGGGGCCCGUUGCAGGCCAGCAUCGGUUUGCUUCGCGGAAUAAGGGUGUGCGGGAUGUAGCUUCUUCUGAAGUGUUAUAAACGCGCACUGGAUGCCGAGUCGCAGACCGAGGAACGCAGCGUGUUUGUAGUGCCUGCAGGUACAGAGCGCUUAGGAUGCUGGUAGAAUAGCUUUAAACGACCCGUCUUGAAACACG